UAGAAAUUUCAUGUAAAAAGGCAGAGCACAAGAGAGAGAGAGGAUGAGGAAGAACAAGCUUUUCUUGGCACCUACCAACUCUUUCCCCCGAUCGAUCACGAGGCCUAAAAGCUCGAAUUUAAGUUACAAUGCAACCUCCUAAAGAGGUACCCCUGAUUUGCAGUGCAAGGAAAAAAUUCUUCUUCAAAGUGUGGUUGCCCCGGAUGGUGCGACUACGAAAGACAUAACCCCAGAAAUGUUUAACAAAGAGGAUGGUAAGGUCGUGGAAGAGUUCAAGAUGAGGGUCAUUCACAUUCCUGCUAACCCCCCAUCACCGGUCCCUGAAGAACCUGAAGAAGAUUCUUCUCCCAGGGCAUCAGUGCUUGAGAAUGGGCAUCAAAUCGUUCAUUGUUUGAUGCUGUACGUUUUA